UCUACGGGGGGCUGCAGUGGGGAAUAUUGGACAAUGGGCGAAAGCCUGAUCCAGCCAUGCCGCGUGUGUGAAGAAGGCCUUCGGGUUGUAAAGCACUUUCAGUGGGGAAGAAAGCCUUGGGGCUAAUACCCUCGAGGAAGGACAUCACCCACAGAAGAAGCACCGGCUAACUCCGUGCCAGCAGCCGCGGUAAUACGGAGGGUGCGAGCGUUAAUCGGAAUUACUGGGCGUAAAGCGCGCGUAGGCGGUCUGAUAAGCCGGUUGUGAAAGCCCCGGGCUCAACCUGGGAACGGCAGCCGGAACUGUCAGGCUAGAGUGCAGGAGAGGAAGGUAGAAUUCCCGGUGUAGCGGUGAAAUGCGUAGAGAUCGGGAGGAAUACCAGUGGCGAAGGCGGCCUUCUGGACUGACACUGACGCUGAGGUGCGAAAGCGUGGGUAGCAAACAGGAUUAGAUACCCCGGUAGUC
rnacentral:rRNA from 1 species